UAGGGUUCUUGUAGUUGAAUUAC
rnacentral:tRNA from 1 species